rnacentral:rRNA from 1 species
AUUGAACGCUGGCGGAAUGCUUUACACAUGCAAGUCGAACGGCAGCACGGACUUCGGUCUGGUGGCGAGUGGCGAACGGGUGAGUAAUGUAUCGGAACGUGCCCAGUCGGGGGGGAUAACGUAGUGAAAAUUACGCUAAUACCGCAUACGAUCUAUGGAUGAAAGCGGGGGAUCGCAAGACCUCGCGCGAUUGGAGCGGCCGAUAUCAGAUUAGGUAGUUGGUGGGGUAAAGGCCCACCAAGCCAACGAUCUGUAGCUGGUCUGAGAGGACGACCAGCCACACUGGAACUGAGACACGGUCCAGACUCCUACGGGAGGCAGCAGUGGGGAAUUUUGGACAAUGGGCGAAAGCCUGAUUCAGCCAUUCCGCGUGCAGGAUGAAGGCCCUCGGGUUGUAAACUGCUUUUGUACAGAACAAAAAGGUUUCUACUAAUACUAGGAGCUCAUGACGGUACUGUAAGAAUAAGCACCGGCUAACUACGUGCCAGCCGCCGCCGUAA